UCAACUAUACUUCAAUAAAAUAAAUAAACAAAUAAACAUGAGAUGGCUCAGCUAUCAUCUUUGGGCUCCAACAGAGCCCCUGUACAACUUAGUUAUUUGUGUCGAAGUUGUGCAGGGGGGAUGGAGAUAAGGCGGAGGCAGUGUGCCCGGGGCUGCCAGGAGGAGCAGAGUGGGCGCGGAAUCGUGGCGGCGCGUCUGGGGAGGAACACUGGGCAUCACAGCAAAUGCAGUGUGGUGGGCCCCACGGUUCAUCUCCCUCUGUCCCCACAGGCCACACCCUGACCUCUGCUCCUCCAGCCCCGAUCAGAAGACCGACUGCAACAUCUCAGACCGCUCCUGUUCCCACCUCGUGUGGGGUUCCCUCCCCUGCAGCCUGCCAAGUGUCCCCAGACCGCAGUCCUCUUGAGGACCCUGCCCGGGGUCCUCGGGACCAGUGUCCCUGCCGCCUCCACCGGUCCUUCGGUUCAGCGAAGGGCCAAGAGGCUUCCCAGCCUCCCUUUUCCCGGAAGUGCGGAGACUCUCCAAGGAUCUGGCUGGGGACGGGCGUGGUUAAGUAGCCUGGUCCCGCCCACAUUUGUAGAACGACAGCUCCGCACAAGAUGCGAGGCCUGCGGCGUGCAAUCUCAGCAAGGGACAGGUCGAGAGGAUGGGAACUUAGAAGGACCACAGAAAAUGGGAGGUUUGAGCUGAUGUGAGCCUUUUUGCGGAGAAGAUAUUCAAAAUCUAGGAAGGAGGAUGACAUUGCAAGCGCCCCAGGAGAAGCCGGCUGCUACUUUCCCUGUUCCUUCCCUGCCUUCAGGAUUCCUGCCCUUGCCUUCGUGAUGAAGCACCAUCACUGCUGAUGAUACAGGUGUCUGUCCCCCCACUAGAAGAGUCUACCAGCUCUGGAAAAGUCCUCGCCAACCAGGUGGUAAGUAUUAUAUCAGUUAUCGUCUCGUGAGAGUUGAAGCCAGCCUUGUUCUGUACUCCCAGAGGAUGGGAAGGAUAGAACCUUCACCAUCUCAGCCAUGAUGCUUGGUGCCCAAUUUGGAGGAAAAUACCAGAUCCCCUUAAGAACUGGUCUGAUACUGACCCAGUGACUGGUGUGUGCUCUAACUAUGAAUAGGAAGGCUAUGGGCUUAUUGUUUUUUUAACUAUCUAUUUUUUAAACGAAUCACUAAUUUAUUCGAACAGGUAAUAUACAUACACAGCACAAAAUUCACACGGUAUCCGGUGAAAGGGUGUAGAGUGACAAAUAAGUCUUCUUCCUACCCCUUCACCAAGUCCCCUUCCCCAGAGGCAACCACCGUUAUCAGAGUUUAUUUUAGUUCUAAAGAGAGUUAAGGGGCUCAGCCUGAAAAUGGAAUUAGGAAGCUGUGUAAUGUCGUGAUUAGGACUUGGAAUCAGGCCGACUCCGUUCAAAGCCAGGCUGCACCACAUCCUGACCCAGAGCCCAGACACCAGCAGGAUUUAUCCCCUUGGAGUGUUGAGAUAAUUAACUGAGCAAAGCACAGCCCCUGGCACAUAUUUACAUUCAAUAAACAUCAGCGCUUCUAAGCGAUUGGGCGACUGAGUGUGGAGAAGGAGGGUGGAAAGGGAUGGGCGGGGCAUAUUGACUGCUCUCUGGGGAAAGCCUUCAGCCUUCGCGACUCUAAGUGUGGUCCCUGGAAAUCCCUGGGAGUGUUAGAAAUGCAUGAUCCCAGGCCUUCCCCAGACCUGCCCAAUGAGAAGCUGCUGCCAGACAAGCUCCACAGGUGAUGUUCAUGUGUGUUACAGUUUGAGAAGCACCGCCCUAUGCAAGCCCAGGAAUCCUUGAGGGAAUGGGCUGUAGAACCCCUGCCUCUGAGGAGCCAGUGAUGCUGUUUCUCACCCUUCAGACUAGGAGCCUCUUAGACUUCUCAGGAUGAAAAUUCAGGAGGAAAACACGUUUAAGAGAAAAGCCACUUCCCCUCCCAGUCCCCAGCUAUUCCACGUCCGAUUUCCCAAGCCCGGUCACCUGUGACCUCCAGUGCGGCUAGAAUGUGUCCUCUUUUGUCCUGUAGCUUGACAGCAACCCGAUAGAGGGCUUGGGGGCAGGGUGGCAUGUUGUUUUGAGAGAUACAAGAGACACAGUGGAGCCUGCCCAGCAAGCUGCAGGGCUGCCAGGAUGCCAACUGGGAGGCAAAGGUCCUGGC